CCAAUAGCGUAUGCAAAAGUUGUUGCAGUUAAAAAGCUCGUAGUUGAAUUUCAGGCCUGGCUGGACGGUCCGCCCUUCGGGUGAGUACUGUCUGUGGUCGGGUCCUACCUUCUGGCGAAGCGUCAUGGCCUUAACCGGCCGUGGCGGGGAACCAGGACUUUUACUGUGAAAAAAUUAGAGUGUUCAAAGCAGGCAAUCGCUUGGAUACAUUAGCAUGGAAUAAUGGAAUAGGACAAUGGUUCUAUUUGUUGGUUUCUAGGACCGUUGUAAUGAUUAAUAGGGAUAGUUGGGGGCAUUAGUAUUCAAUUGUCAGAGGUGAAAUUCUUGGAUUUAUUGAAGACUAACUACUGCGAAAGCAUUUGCCAAGGAUGUUUUCAUUAAUCAAGAACGAAAGUUAGGGGAUCGAAGACGAUCAGAUACCGUCGUAGUCUUAACCAUAAACUAUGCCGACUAGGGAUCGGAUGAUGUUAAUUUUUUAAUGACUCAUUCGGCACCUUACG
rnacentral:rRNA from 1 species